rnacentral:rRNA from 1 species
GAUGAACGCUGGCGGCGUGCCUAAUACAUGCAAGUCGAGCGAACAGACGAGGAGCUUGCUCCUCUGACGUUAGCGGCGGACGGGUGAGUAACACGUGGAUAACCUACCUAUAAGACUGGGAUAACUUCGGGAAACCGGAGCUAAUACCGGAUAAUAUAUUGAACCGCAUGGUUCAAUAGUGAAAGACGGUUUUGCUGUCACUUAUAGAUGGAUCCGCGCCGCGUUAGCUAGUUGGUAAGGUGACGGCUUACCAAGGCAACGAUGGGUAGCCGACCUGAGAGGGAGAUAGGCCAGACUGGAACUGAGACGGGGUCGAGACUGCUACGGGAGGCAGCAGUAGGGAAUCUUCCGCAAUGGGCGAAAGCCUGACGGAGCAACGCCGCGUGAGUGAUGAAGGUCUUCGGAUCGUAAAACUCUGUUAUUAGGGAAGAACAAAUGUGUAAGUAACUAUGCACGUCUUGACGGUACCUAAUCAGAAAGCCACGGCUAACUACGUG